AAAAAGACAAACCCUGGGUUUCCGUGUCCAACGUUUGACCGUCCGUCUUAUUUGAAAAAAUUAUAAAAAAAAUUAAAAGGAUAAGUCACGCAUAAAGUAUUAAUCAUGUUUUAUCAUCUAACAACAAUGAAAAUACUAAUUAUAAAAAAAUUUCAUAUAAGACGGACAGUCAAAUGUUGGACACGUAAACCCAUGGUUUUUUUUUUU
rnacentral:pre_miRNA from 1 species